UACGAAGGGGCGAGCGUUGUUCGGAUUUACUGGGCGUAAAGGGCGCGCAGGCGGCUCAUUUUGUCAGGCGUGAAAGCCCCGGGCUCAACCUGGGAAUUGCGAUGGAGACUGCAAGGCUAGGAAUCUGGCAGAGGGGGGUAGAAUUCCACGUGUAGCAGUGAAAUGCGUAGAGAUGUGGAGGAACACCGAUGGCGAAGGCAGCCCCCUGGGUCAAGAUUGACGCUCAUGCACGAA
rnacentral:rRNA from 1 species